CAAACAGCGAAGACAGCAACUCCCAUGAUCCCAUGCUUCUUCACGACAUCAUCAAGAUUCUCUUCGAGGGAAAAUUCCCCUUUUCUCCAUUUCCCAUCGGCCAGCUUGUAACUCAAAAAGACACGCUUUAUUACACUUUGGAGGCGUCAGGCAGCAGUGGGCAGCAUGAAGAUCACCGGGAGUAGAGUAAGCAGCAGCUGUGGAGAUGGACCCCCUGUCAGUGGCAAAUUCAGCCAAAGAAAACCCCAGCUCCGUUGGACGGGUCAGCCCCGACUGCCUGCUGGAUCAGCUAACAGGAUAAAAUCGUGGCUUCAGCCUCAGAAAUGUUGAUCUUCAUCCUGGCCAUGUUGCACUGGUGCAAACCCCUACAGAUUACAGGUGGCCUCUCACCAACUGUUCCCCUGCAUGGAGCUCACAGUCCUGCAGCAGUAGUGUCUUAAGUGCCUCAGGAUAACGGAGAGAGAGUAACAAGGGCAAGGAGGCGCUGAGCGAAGCAAUACAC